rnacentral:tRNA from 1 species
UCCCCUGUGGCUCAGUUGGUAGAGCAUGGUGUGUGCAACGCCAGGGUUUUGGGUUUGAUUCCCACGGGGGGC